rnacentral:hammerhead_ribozyme from 1 species
AUACAGUUGAAGAGUCCCAAACAGGAUGAAACGCGCGUUCUGGAC